rnacentral:rRNA from 1 species
CCUACGGGCGACAGUAGUGAGGAAUAUUGGUCAAUGGACGAGAGUCUGAACCAGCCAAGUAGCGUGAAGGAUGACUGCCCUAUGGGUUGUAAACUUCUUUUAUAUGGGAAUAAAAUGUUCCACGUGUGGGAUUUUGUAUGUACCAUAUGAAUAAGGAUCGGCUAACUCCGUGCCAGCAGCCGCGGUAAUACGGAGGAUCCGAGCGUUAUCCGGAUUUAUUGGGUUUAAAGGGAGCGUAGGUGGAUUGUUAAGUCAGUUGUGAAAGUUUGCGGCUCAACCGUAAAAUUGCAGUUGAAACUGGCAGUCUUGAGUACAGUAGAGGUGGGCGGAAUUCGUGGUGUAGCGGUGAAAUGCUUAGAUAUCACGAAGAACUCCGAUUGCGAAGGCAGUUCACUGGACUGCAACUGACACUGAGGCUCGAAAGUGUGGGUAUCAAACAGGAUUAGAUACCCUUGUAGUC